rnacentral:lncRNA from 1 species
UUCUCUAAGGGAGAGUGACUAGUCUCGAGUCAUUGGUGUGUGUGACAUCAAGACAAGUACGUACGUGCUCAAUAGAGAAUGAGUUCACUGAACACGAUCAACGAAGAGUUCUCAUAUUCAUGUCACAUGAGAACUCAUGGUUGGGAUAAUGCAAAGUAGUCCUUUGACCUGAGGCAUCAUAGAUGUCUAAUGGUUAGGUCCUUGAUCUUUGAUCAUGUCAAAUGGCAUUCCAUUGGAGUGUCCACGGCAUUGUUGGGGUCAAGCUAUCUAGUCAUGUAGGCAUAUGAAUGCGCAACAAGGGAUCUCUAACCUUCAAACCGUUUGAGGGAGAAUACUCUAUGAUAUGAUUAAGAAUCUUU